AGAGUGCCACCUGCCCCGUCAGUUGCAUCCGCCUCAGAGAUUCAGCGACAGUUUGGUGGAGUUCCGUCUGCUACUGUCGUAUCUGCGGGGUGUGUGAUUUGUGGAGGAUCCCACCAGGCGCGGCGGUGUGUGCUGCGAAAAGGAAGGUGUUUUCGUUGUGGGCAGUCUGGCCACAUGAAGUAUGAUUGCCCCUUGGACGAUGGACGACUCCCGCCGACAGCGUCGACAUUCACCUCUUCGGGACAGAUGGUGGAUGUGCAGCCUGUGGCACAGUCUGGAGGGCUGGGGGUGGUCGAGCAGCCGGAGAAUUCACAGGAGGCACCAAGCGGCCCUGGAUGCGCGGCUCAGGUCGAGGGACCUGCUGCUGUUGGUGAUGUUACCGCAGGUAUGAUUUAAUUAAAGCAAUCAUACAUUCUAGCAUGAAGUAGUUUGAGCAAUUGUAUGCAUUUGCUUGUGGUCUUUUACUAUUAUUUACAUAUUGGUAUAGUAGAGACCAGGACGCAGGUCAGAGGAGUCACCCA
rnacentral:lncRNA from 1 species